rnacentral:rRNA from 1 species
UGAGCAAUCUGCCCAUCUCUUUGGAAUAAGCGUUGGAAACGACGUCUAAUGCCGAAUACGACCUCCUUUCGCAUGAUCGGAGGUGGAAAGCUCCGGCGGAGAUGGAUGAGCUCGCGGCCUAUCAGCUAGUUGGUGUGGGUAAUGGCCCACCAAGGCGACGACGGGUAGCCGGCCUGAGAGGGUGACCGGCCACACGUGGGACUGAGACACGGCCCAGACCUCCGUAGGGAG